rnacentral:rRNA from 1 species
UAACAAGGAUUCCCCUAGUAACUGCGAGUGAAGCGGGAAGAGCUCAAAUUUAAAAUCUGGUAGCUUCGUUACCCGAGUUGUAAUCUGGAGAAGCAUUUUCCGCGUUGGACCGUGUACAAGUUUCUUGGAACAGAAUAUCAUAGAGGGUGAGAAUCCCGUCCAUGACACGGACUACCAAUGCUUUGUGAUAUGCUCUCGAAGAGUCGAGUUGUUUGGGAAUGCAGCUCAAAAUGGGUGGUAAGUUCCAUCUAAAGCUAAAUAUUGGCGAGAGACCGAUAGCGAACAAGUACCGUGAGGGAAAGAUGAAAAGCACUUUGGAAAGAGAGUUAAACAGUACGUGAAAUUGUUGAAAGGGAAACGCUUGAAGUCAGUCGCGUUGAUGAAGACUCAGCCUUGCUAUUGCGUGGUGUAUUUCUUUGUUAACGGGUCAACAUCAAUUUUGGUUGGUGGAUAAAGGUUGGAGGAAUGUGGCAUCCUUGGAUGUGUUAUAGCCUUCUUCCGUAUACACUGGCUGGGAUUGAGGUCUGCAGCACGCCUUUUUGGCCGGGGUUCGCCCACGUAUCGUGCUUAGGAUGUUGGCAUAAUGGCUUUAAGCGACCCGUCUUGAAACACGGACCAAGGAGUCUAACAUGCUUGCGAGUAUUAGAGUGGAAAACUCUUGUGCGUAAUGAAAGUGAAAGUUGGGACUCUUCGCAGAGGCACCGACGCCCGGCUCUGAAGUUUACUGACGAUGCUGCGGUAGAGCACGUAUGUUGGGACCCGAAAGAUGGUGAACUAUGCCUGAAUAGGGUGAAGCCAGGGGAAACUCUGGUGGAGGCUCGUAGCGAUUCUGACGUGCAAAUCGAUCGUCAAAUUUGGG